AGCAGCCGCGGUAAUUCCAGCUCCAAUAGCGUAUAUUAAAGUUGUUGCAGUUAAAAAGCUCGUAGUUGAAUUUCGGGGUUAGUAGAUUGGUCAUGCCUCUGGUAUGCACUGGUCUUACUGAUUCCUCCUUCCUGAUGAACCGUAAUGCCAUUAAUUUGGUGUUGCGGGGAAACUGGACUGUUACUUUGAAAAAAUUAGAGUGUUUAAAGCAGGCUAACGCUUGAAUACAUUAGCAUGGAAUAAUGAAAUAGGACGUUCGAUCUUAUUUUGUUGGUUUCUAGGAUUGACGUAAUGAUUAAUAGGGAUAGUUGGGGGCAUUAGUAUUCAAUUGUCAGAGGUGAAAUUCUUGGAUUUAUUGAAGACUAACUACUGCGAAAGCAUUUGCCAAGGAUGUUUUCAUUAAUCAAGAACGAAAGUUAGGGGAUCGAAGACAAUCAGAUACCGUCGUAGUCUUAACCAUAAACUAUAGCCGACUAGGGAUCGGAUGAUGUUAAAUUUUUAUGUACUCAUUCGGCGCCUU
rnacentral:rRNA from 1 species